UACGUAGGGGGCUAGCGUUGUCCGGAAUCAUUGGGCGUAAAGAGCGUGUAGGCGGUCCGGUAAGUCCGCUGUGAAAGUCGGGGGCUCAACCCUCGAAUGCCGGUGGAUACUGUCGGGCUAGAGUACGGAAGAGGCGAGUGGAAUUCCCGGUGUAGCGGUGAAAUGCGCAGAUAUCGGGAGGAACACCAAUUGCGAAGGCAGCUCGCUGGGACGUUACUGACGCUGAGACGCGAAAGCGUGGGGAGCAAACAGG
rnacentral:rRNA from 1 species